UUUUUUUUUUUUUUCCUUUCCCCCCCCCUUUUUUUUUUUUAAGGGGGGGGGAAAAAAAAAACCCCCCCCUUUUUUGGGGGGGGGGGGGGGGGAAAAAAAAAACCCCCCCCCCCAAAAAAAAACCCGGGGAAAAA